GGCUCGGCUGUAAAUGGAGAGCUCGAGUCCUGUUUCAGCACGUGCGAACCGAAACAACCGGAGCAGCAGCUAAAGUCCUGCCCUUGACUUCGCUGAAACCUAGUCAGGUGUCACUCGGCAAAGGAUGUUUCCCAGCGCUGGGCGGUGACACGCAUUGUUAGCGAGGCCAGCCUGAAUCAAGAAAAACAAGUGAAAUGACACCCGGCGAUCGGCCAGGUACGCCAACUGUCCCAAUUAUGCAGAGGUCAGGGAGCACCUCCUGCAAACAGCAUGCAAAUCCACGCCGAGCCCCCCGCCAGCCUCUUCCCCAGGAGCUCCUCCUGGCGCCGGCAGGAGGGUUCGGGCUGCUGACGGGGAAGAAGCGCAUGCCGCAGGUCCAGGAGCAGAUGCAAUCCUUGGAUGGUGCCUUUCCAGCCUCCAGCAAGGUCUAGGGAAGCAAACAAUGCUCUUUUUCCCCUCCUUUCAAUUUUUUCUCUCUUUUUUUUUUUCCUGCUUUUCUAGCUUCUUGCUGGCAACACCAGACAUUGUACUUUGACGAGUUAAUAAACAUCUCCCUUGGGAAUUAAGGAGCUCCAGCAUGCUCAGGUUUGCCAUGUUUUAAGCCUGACUAACAAGAGUUUGCAGAGCAAGAGGCUUUCCCCCCCACCCUCAAAAGCUCAAUAUCUCACAUUUCAGGCUUCUCCCCGAAGCUGCUUCACUUCUGUGGCUUGCAGCUCUAAAAAUUGUAACGCUUCAGUGCUAUCUCCCAGGUGCUAACCUAUCACUCGCACCUCUCCUAGUCUUUUCUCUCCGCCCAUGCUCCCCUUCCCAACCCCAAGUCUGCUUUUUCGGUGCCAUUUUUUUGAGUGGUCCCUGCUCUCCGGGGAAUAGAGAAGC